CGCACAAGCGGUGGAGCAUGUGGUUUAAUUCGAUGCAACGCGAAGAACCUUACCUGGUCUUGACAUCCACAGAACUUUCCAGAGAUGGAUUGGUGCCUUCGGGAACUGUGAGACAGGUGCUGCAUGGCUGUCGUCAGCUCGUGUUGUGAAAUGUUGGGUUAAGUCCCGCAACGAGCGCAACCCUUAUCCUUUGUUGCCAGCGGUUAGGCCGGGAACUCAAAGGAGACUGCCAGUGAUAAACUGGAGGAAGGUGGGGAUGACGUCAAGUCAUCAUGGCCCUUACGACCAGGGCUACACACGUGCUACAAUGGCAUAUACAAAGAGAAGCGACCUCGCGAGAGCAAGCGGACCUCAUAAAGUAUGUCGUAGUCCGGAUUGGAGUCUGCAACUCGACUCCAUGAAGUCGGAAUCGCUAGUAAUCGUAGAUCAGAAUGCUACGGUGAAUACGUUCCCGGGCCUUGUACACACCGCCCGUCACACCAUGGGAGUGGGUUGCAAAAGAAGUAGGUAGCUUAACCUUCGGGAGGGCGCUUACCACUUUGUGAUUCAUGACUGGGGUGAAGUCGUAACAAGGUAACCGUAGGGGAACCUGCGGUUGGAUCACCUCCUUACCUUAAAGAA
rnacentral:rRNA from 1 species